rnacentral:tRNA from 1 species
UUUUAUGGAUCCAGUAAAACUUAUAUGAAAUGUUGAAAUUUGAUAACAAUUUUUAGGGUAAAAU